rnacentral:rRNA from 1 species
UAACGCGUGAGGAACCUGCCUCAAAGAGGGGGGAAACAGUUGGAAACGACUGCUAAUACCGCAUAAGCCCACAGCUCGGCAUCGAGCAGAGGGAAAAGGAGCAAUCCGCUUUGAGAUGGCCUCGCGUCCGAUUAGCUAGUUGGUGAGGUAACGGCCCACCAAGGCGGCGAUCGGUAGCCGGACUGAGAGGUUGAACGGCCACAUUGGGACUGAGACACGGCCCAG